GCUUACGGCGAUACCACCCUGAGCACGCCUGAUCUCGUAUGAUCUCGGAAGCUAAGCAGGGUCGGGCCUGGUUAGUACUUGGAAGGGAGACUGCCUGGGAAUACAAGGUGUUGUAAGCU
rnacentral:rRNA from 1 species